UCAAAGUUAAUCCAAGGCAGUUUUGUGAUGUCUCAGAGAUGCAGGCAGAAAACUACAAAACUACUCAGAGUUGCAGGUACUCAAUCCCUAUUUUAACUAACAACAAAACAGUUGAUAAGAUCAUAAAAAACAAAGUCUCAACCAUCAUUUUAGAUGACAAAAGGAGUCACAUGUAAGAUUCUAGAACCCAUUCCAAAUAAUCUGACUAUUGUAAUGACUCCAUUUACAUUAAUGACACAUUUAGGUAAGGUUUAAGUUUUCAAAUUCUUUAUUCAAUAUGAUAAAUACAACUAUGGGACAAUAAGCAUAAUUGUAAAGAAACUUAACUGUUUUCACAUAAACCUUACAGUACAAUAAAACAACAGUAUUUACAAGCCACAAAAGCCUAGUAAAAAUCUAUUAAUGCAUUUAUGUUUAGUUUUCCUUUCCUUCUGAUAGCCAUGCAUGGAAUGGAAGAAUCUCACUAUUCUUUUAUACUAUUAUCCUUAAUCUCAAGAAAAGUAGACCAGUGAAAUAUCACCCAUCCUGUGGCGACCUUAGAACACUUAUUGCCCACAAUUCAAUUUUUAAUUUCAGAAAAAAAAAUUUACCAGCCUCAAUUGCAUUUCUUGCAGCAAGCCUGAAAUCAUUCACAAUUUGAGGGAUUUCAUCUGUCGUUAGCCGCCUUGGAGGAGUGAAUUGUGCAAUAUCAACACCAUUAGUGCGGAUUUGAGGUGUCAAUGGCUUGUCUGUACAGGAAAUUGGAGCUUGACCAUUUGGCUGAUAAUCUGUACAGUUCGACGACAGGAAAAACCAAUGAAGAUCCAGUUGAAAUGAUUCUCAAAUUUCUAUAAAAUCAGUCAGAUCCAUCACAUGGAGGUUGCAAAAAAACUAUUGAAUAUCAUUUUAUUAACUGAAAAUAAAAUGCAAAAGGAUGGUGCAUCUGUAGGAUGAUCAGUACUCAAUUUGAGCAUUUGAUUAAUCCGCGCUGCUUAUUCUCUCAACACUUGCCUCAUGUUAGAUUACUGUAAGUUACUGCAAUUCAAUAGCUUAAGUUCACGGUACCUUAUCUUAUUAUCAGAAAUAAAAUGUAUGUAUGAUCCUGAUAACUAAGUAACCAGUAACUGUCAAUAGAAGAGAGAGAUAUAGAACACACCUUGAUUUGAAACCCUGCCAACGUGCCCAAUCUGACAAAAGAAGAUCCCACCUUUGGCAUGAACAGCAUCUACAAUCGGUUUCCAUGCUUCAACUUGCUCCUUUGUCCAGAUACCAGGUGUAUCUGGAUACCUUACAAUAAAAGAAACAACAGAACACACAAGAUUUUCAAGCAACUAAAUACAGGUAAUGCUUUCGAAACUCAAACAUACAAUUUCUUAUCCAUUUAAUGCCUCAAAAAACUCUUAAAACAGUUAAACGGAUGUAAAAUUACCCUUGAGCAGUGUCGGAAACUCCAGUGGCUUCGGCUAUAAGCAAACCCCCUUUGGUGGUUCUUUGAGAGUAAUACAAAAUGGCAUGUGGCUGAGGAACAUUGUUGUAUGAUCUCUGUCUAGUCAGUGGUGCUAAAACAACUCUGAAAUAAACAAAACAAGCAAGCCGCAAUUCAAUUAGCCCCAUCACCAAUAACUCAAACUCAAAAGAAAAAAACCCAUAAAAUUGCAACAUUACACUUAAACUGCCUCUGUAACACUCUCAGUCAGAUCAUAGACCAAACGAACAAAUACAAAGAAGAUACAGAAACUAAAUCAGAUCAUACAUUCAAAUCAGUUAAGGGUAUUAUAAGUUAAUAACCGGGCGUGCUUCUGCUUAAUUACCAAAAAAGGACAGUUAAAAAGUGUUCCGUAAACACCAACAGUUUUACUCGAUAGCUACUGAUUCACUCCACAUAGAGACUGUGAAUUAAAAACCACAGUAACUAAAUCCCAAAUAUUUCCUAAUCCAUUCCAAAUAUUCACUAAUCCAUUCAUUCUAAAUGGACAAGGAUUCAGUGGUCCACUGCGUUUGCGCUGAGCCCUGGAUAAACAGUGAGAAUCUGAGUGCUCAUGAUGUGAAUGCUCGCCACUCAAAUGUACUUUGGCAGAUAUCACUUUCGUCAAUAAAGUUAACGCCAUACAAAAAUCCAUACAGCGAAAGAAAAUGUAAAUCCAAAAAAAUAAAAAUAAAAAACUCAAUGAAAUAAAAGGUGGGUACAAUCGGUACCUAUCAGAAAGAUUGAGACUGCCCAUAUUGUAAGGAGUGAGAAGAGGGAUGAUGGGAGUUUCAAUGGCCAUGUUACCGUUGUUCUCUUCUUGAUUUUGCUUAGCCUCCUCUGCUCUGUUUCCCAUGUUUAGUAGAAUUACAAGCAAAUUGAGAAUCCUUAACGCGACUGAAAAUAAAAUGAUUAAAGAAACGGAAGGGUUCAAUUGGGUAUUUAUAGACCGAAAUGGGUCGACCGUUUUGGAAUAUAAAAAAAUUCCACGAGGGGCGAAUCAGUCUCCAUUGCCAUUGGAUUCAAUGUUCACAUAUGUUUAAAAUGCUUUUAAUAGCUGGCACGUGACGUUUGCAAGUACGUAGCCGGCUGCUGUUGCCUGUCUUUGAACAACUAACCAAUAUGCUUUUAUUUUUAAUAAUGAGAUUCUAAGGGCUGUUUGGAAUUAUUGUUGAGAAGUUUAAAAAUAAUUUUUAAAAGUUAAUAGUUAAUUUUAGAUUUUGAUAAUUUUUUAAAAAUUAUUUUUGGUAAAUUUAUUUUAAUUUUAUAAUGGAUUUUAAAAAAUUGAGAAUAAGUAGUUUUUCAAAAUUUAAUUUAAGAAUCAAUUUUAUACCUAACAUAAUUUCAUACAUAUUCUCAAAUUUAUUAUAUAAAUCUAAAAUUAUCCUUUUUAAUUAGGAAAUAAAAUCAUUAACUUAAAAAAAAAUUAUUACUUCCCAUUAUAUUAAGAUAACAAAAAAAUUAAUAAUAUAAAAUAUUUAUUUUAGUUAUCAAUUAUCAUUUAUACAAAAUAAAAAUAUUUUAUAUACAUAUUUAUAAAUAUAUAAAUAAAAUCAAUUUAACAUUAAGUCUAGUUCAAUCGUUUACAUUCUUAUAGCAAUUUAGCAAUAAAACUUAGCACACAUACAAUUAUUUUUAAAACCCAUAAUACUUUUUAAAACGCAUAGUAUUUUAAAAGUUACAUUAUUAGUAGAAUAACCCUAAGUUAUUGUGCUGAUUGUACUGAUUGAUUGUAAUAAUUCUAUUUAAUGGAAUGAAAGUUUAGGGUGCCUAAAAAAUAUGUAUAAUUAAAUGAUUUAAAAAUCAAGUAGUACCAACAAAGAAAGUAAAAUAGAAUUAAAAAUUAUAUUUAAAGAAACAUGAAAUUGGUUUUAAUUAAGAAUAUCAAAACAUCAUAUAAUUGGAGUGACUUCAGCAAUGACAAAUUAAUCUAUAAUGUACUCAAACGGAAGUGAUCUGUCUUUGUCAAGACUCAAAAUAUUGAAAUUAGUUGAAGGGAUCUCUUCUUUAUUAGGAAAUUUUUUAUUAUUUCCCUAAAAUAAUUAUAAAAAAAAUUACUCCACAUGGAAAGUUUUUGUUAUAAUUUUUUAAUUAGUCGCUUUCCGCUUUCCCAAAUUUCCUUCGCCCAGUAAAAGUGCUACCUUGUCCCUUUCACUAGUGGUCUAUUUUCCAUAGUUAUUAUCUCAAUCAAGGUAAUUAGAUUUUAUUAUAAAUUUAUCAAACCUUUUUGCUCAUCAUAAUAUAUAGUUUCUGUUUUACUUAUUUAUAAGAUUUUUCAACAAGCGUAUAUUUUCAGCUGCGAAUCUCAGUGAAGACAUUACAAAACAUUAAAAUAGAAAAAUGAGUUCUUUUUAGAUUGUAAAGUUAUCUAUGUUAAAGAUAUAUUACAAAUACUACAUGACUAAAAUUUCAUUAUUGAUGAAUUCUAUAGUUUUAACUUUUAAGUCGCAAGUAUUUCUAUUUUUACACUAACGAGUCGUCUUUCUUAUAAUCUUUUCCAUUACAGAACCUAUAUAUUAAAGUUCUACACGUCAAUGCUAAAUUAAAAAAAAAAAAAGAUAAAAGAAAGAAAGAAACCACCCCAUGGUCAAUAAUCAAUAUUAUAAACUAUUAAAGAAAAUGAUGCAUCCCUCUUAAUUGAAACGAAAACAUGUCCAAGUUCAUCUUUGUCAUCAAAUGAACCGACAAAGUUAUCCAGGAAAUUACAAAUUUAACCAUAAGAAGUUGGAAUUAUAACCAUUAGACCACUCACUAUAAAAAUAAUAGCAUCGGAGUACUAUAUAUUGUGGGUCUUUAUGAUUUUUUAAUAAAAGAUUAACGUAUUUAUAAUUUUUAAUAAAAGAUUAAUGUAUUCGUAGUCUUUUAACCACCUCGUAAUCCUAAUUUAUUUUAUAUUUUUGUCGAAUUAAGACAAAAGGUUCUAUCGAACAUUUUGCAAACGAAAGGACUAUUGCAUCCAGUUUUUCAUGUUUGUGGUUGUUUUUGACAUUUAGCCAUAUCUCAAGUGUAUUGAAGCAUAUAUUUAUUCGACUUGAGUAGAGUUUUAUACUUAACAAAUAUUUUUUAAAAAAAUAUUAAAGCAAAUAUUUAUUCGUAUAUCAUCAUCAUGGUCGUCGUAGUUGUCAUUAUCAUCAUCAGUAAAAUAAUAAUAAUAAUAAUUUAUUAUAUCUUAAUAGUUUGUAAUUUUUUUUUAAUUUAUUUUAGAGAUAGAAUACAUACAAUUUUCUUUUUUGAAUUAUUAUGAUAUAUAUCAUAUAAAAGUAAAGAAUUUUGAAAUUUAAAAAUAAAUUAUGUUUGAAUGUUCACUUAGACAAAAUACAAAAAAAUAAUAAUAGGGACAUAUUGUGCUUUAAAGGCUUUGAAAUUCUUCUUUAAGUCUUGAAUUUCCGCAAUGACCAAAUAUAUUUCUGUUAGGCUGCCUUCUCUGUUGUUUAUCAAUUCUGGUACUUCAUGAGAAUUAGUUUCUAGGAUAACUGACUGUAGACCUGCUUCAUGUGCUAUUUUGAUGCCCUACUCAGCUGCUUCUACUUCCACAUAUGUUACAUCUCUCCUAAACCUUGAGGUUUUUAUAGCUGCAGCUAAGCACUUUCCAGUGGAGUCUAUGAUUAUUGCUCCCAAUCCCGAGCAUUGUCUUUUGGUGUCAGUAGUUGCAUUAACAUUUAUCUUUAGCCAUCCAUCGGGUGGAAGGGUCCAGGAUUUUGGUUUUUCCUUCUGCAUUUUUCCUAGAUUCAACAUCUCCGGAAAUUUUGUUCUUCUAAAAACUUCAUUGACUACUUCAGCUUUGGCCAUUUGCAAUCCUUGAUCCAACUUUACACCUUCAAAUACAAAUUUAUUCUGAGCAUGCCAAAUCACCCACCACAUUGACGCCACAAGCUCAAGUUCAGCUUUACUUAAUUUCUUCUGAAGCAUCAUCAAAUCCCCCAAGAGGUUUGCAUUUCUCAUCUAUUGAAUUGCAUUCACCAUUGAUGAAAGCUGCCAAACCUUUCUUGCUGCUUUGCAAGUGACCAUGGCGUGCAUAGUAUUUUCCACUCUAUUUCUACAAUGCUUGCAGUGACCUUCCUGAAUAAUUCUACGCUUCCACAAAUUAUCAGCUGUCGGUAGUAAGUUUUUAAUUACUUUCCAAAUGAAAAUCUUAAUCUUUUUUAGGAUGGUAAGGGUCUAUAUGAUAUUCCAAUUUCUGCCUUUACUGUUGGAGCAAUUUGGUGAAUUCAAAAAUUUCAUAUGUAUAGCCACUUGGUAUCCACUAUUGACCGAGUAUUUCCCCUUUCUGUCGUAAUGCCAGAUGGCUUGUCCUUUGCUUUGUCCUUUUGGCAAAGGAAUGCUGAGAAUUGCAUCUACAUCUUCCUUUAAAAACAUCUUUUGGAUCAAGUCAGUCUUCCAUCUGCUUUCAUUGUCUAUCAACUCUGAAACAAUAGCAUCGAAAGGCAUCCUUGGACUAGGAAACGGUUUGAAAAAGUGGAUGGUCUUGGAAUCCAAUUUCCUUUGUAGGCUAAGAUGUUUUACCCAUUACCAAUUCUCUAUCUAUAUCCAUUAAGAAUUACUUGUCGACCCCAAAGUAAGCUUCUCUAAAUAUAAGAUGGGUUUGGCCCCAUUGAAGCAUUUAGAAAAUCAGUCUUCUUGAAAAUACCUAGCCUUUAAAACAGUAGCUGCAAGGGAAUCUGGAUUUUGAAUCAAUCUCUAUCCUUGCUUAGCUACCAUGACUUGGUUAAAACUUGAUAUGUCUCUAAAGCCCAUUCCCCCUCAAAUUUUAGCUUGACUCAUCUUCUCCCCUCUGAUCCAAACGAUGCCCCUUUUUUUCCUUCUUUUUAUUGCUCACUAAAUAUCAUCACACAGACCAAUAGGUAUCUUGAAGACACUCAUUGCAUAAGCUGGUUGUGCCACUACUUUUAUCAGGACAUCUUUUCCUCAACUCGAGAAAAGUUUCUGUUGCCAACUAGAGAUCUUGCUCUAGACUUUUAGCUUAAUCUUAUUGAAGAAAAUUUUCUUUUUCCUCCUUAUCAUUGAGGGCAACCCCAAGUACUUCUUAUGCUUCGUUACCACAUUGAGCUGAAAUAUUCUUUUAAUGGCCGAAAUUUGGUUUGCACAGACACUGUCGCUGAAGAACAUGCAUGACUUUUCAAAAUUAAAAAUUUGGCCAGAGGUAGUGGCAUAGCAAUCGAACAAACCUUUUAAAUGCUGGAAAUCUUUAAUUGAGGCUUUGGAAAAAAAAUUAGGCUGUCAUAUGCAAAUAAGAGGUGAGAAAUAGAGAUAUGUUGUCCAAAUUUCAACCCAUGUAUUAACUUGCUUUUCUCAGCCUGAAUCAACAAAUUUGAAAGAGCAUCUGCAUAUAUUAUAAACAGAUAAGGAGAUAAAGGGCAUCCCUGCCUCAAGCCCCUUUUAGGAAUAAUCUUGCCAUUUGGUAUUCCAUUUAUGAUUAUAGAAAAGUAUGACGUAGUAAUGCAAUUCAUAAUUAAAUUUAUCAACUUCUUAGCAAAACCUAAUAUGAUCAUUGUCUCCUUUAAAAAAUCCCACUAUGCCCUAUCAUAAGCUUUGUUGAUAUCUAACUUCAGAGCCACCAAGCCAUUUUUUUUUUCCUUUGUUAUGCCUAAUCUUAUGGUGGCAUUCAUACUCAACAAUGAUAUUAUCCAUUAUCAAUCUGUUGGGGAUAGAACCACUCUACGAAGACUUAAUUACAACAUGUAGGAUAGUUUUCAAUCUAUUUGCAAUAGUUUUACAACAAUCCUAUAAAUGAAAUUACAAAGAUUUAUUGGUCUAAAUUCAGUCACUUUCCUAAGCUUUGCAUUAUUGGCAAUUAAAGCAAUGUAUGCGUGGUUCAAAGGAGCAAUGUUACUUGCUUCAUUGAGGAUGUGAAGACAUGUGGUGAUGUUAACUAAUGGCCAGUGCUUCAAAUAAAAGGCAGCCGGUAGCCCAUCAGGGCCUAGUGUCUUGGUUAGACACAUUUGAUUUAGAGCCUCCAUUAUCUUUUCCUCUGUAUAUGGUUGAGUCAGAUACUCAUUCAUUUAAGCUAAAACUUUUGAGACCAUUUCUUUCAAAGCACACUCCAUUUGAUCUUGAGUAGGGUUGGAAGUUGAAAAUAACUCUGCAAAGUAACUGCAGAACUCUUUCUCAAUAUCUUCAUUUUCUUCUACCCAUUUUCCCUAUGCAUCUUCAACUCCUCAAAUUUUGUUCUUCCUCUUUCUAGAUGAAGCUUUUGAGUGGAAGAAUUUGGUGCUUUUAUCUCCCUCCCUCAAUCAAUCAGCCCUAAACCUCUCUCUGUUUCCAAAAGAUCUCUUCAUCUAAAAGGAGGUUAUGGAUCUGCCUCUCAAUGCUUAUCAAUUCUUCACUCCUAUCCCACUGUCCUUCAUACUAGAGCUCUUAUAUUCUGUUCAUCAGCUUCUCUAAUUUCUUCUUGCUUCCUUUAAAAGUUUUCUUACUCCAGUGUAUUAAUUCAGUUAGUGAAGAUUUGCUGGCUUGUUUAAAAAGCUGCACUGCAUUAUCCCCUGACCAGUCUUUGGUCGAUUCUGCCUUUACAAUGUUCUUACACUCAUCAUAGUUGCUCCACAUGUCUUCAUAAUAGGUUCUUGAAAAGGUUAUUUUAUUAUAUGGCUUUCUAUUGGCUCUGCUUAUCACUUCCAUCAAAAUCGAAUUGUGGUCUGAGCACCAUAUAAUCAGAUUUUUUUGCAGCUUGGUUUUAGAAAGAAUUUGUCCAAUCAUUACUACAUAAAAAUCUAUCUAGACGUUUUUCAACAAAGUGGCUACCAAAUCUCCUAUUAGACCUGUAAAAGGGUGGCUUGUAUAACCCAAAUCUUUCAAAUUGUAAUCCUGAAUAUCAUCUCGAAACUCUUUAAUCAUAUGAACCUCCAUGUCUUUUCCUCCAUUUUUUUCAUCUAAGUGCAUUAUCUCAUUGAAAUUGCCAAAGCAUAACUAAAGGGGUGAAGAUAAACCUGUUAAUCUCCUUAAUAAAGCCCAGGUGUGUUUUUUCUGACUCGUUUCUAGGUGCCCGUAGAUUCUAGUGCAUCUCAUCUACUUCCCACUUUCAGUUCUACCUCAGUAUUUAUGCGGUGUUUACUGAAAGAGGUAAUAUCUACCCUUGUUGCUGAAUUCCAAAGCAUAGCUAGACCCCCAUUCUUACCACCUCUACUAACCCAAAAAUAAUUUUCAAACUUCAGCUUCUUGCCAACAUUUUCCAUGUGUACAGAUGUCAAUUUAGUUUCACAUAGAAACAUUAAUUGAGGCGUAUACCAUGUGAGGAAUUUUUGGAGAACUAUGAACGUCCGGUCAUUCCCCAUCCCCUGGACAUUCCAGCUUAGAAUCCUCAUAGCUGUCGGCAGGGUUGGUGUUCUGCCUCCGCCGAUUGAGUUGCAUUGUUUGUGUUUUUAACAUUUUCUCCAUUCUUGAAACAACCCAGUUGAGCUUAUAGCUAAGAGGAGAUGUAUUGCAGGAGCUUUCUCUAACUAUUGAGUUUUUCUGUGGGCUUAGGAUUUGGGUUUUUUUUUUUUAUGAUUUGGGCUUGACCUUAUUACUCCACAACCUAGUCUUUUUCCCACAAUUAGCCCUUCUUUUGUGUGUCCUUUGCUACUUACACUUCUAGCUGGCAGCUUUCACUUCUUUCUCUUAGGCCUAGCAUUUUUUGUUUUCGGUCCAUCACAUACUACUUCUCUGGGCUUGAGUUGCUUUGAUAUUUUUUUGGGCUUGUAUUUAGAGUUAAUUUUGGCUUCAAAUUUAGCACCAAAUUUAACUUUAUUCCCUCUCAAUUCUCUGUUCCCACUUUUUCUCUCUUUUUUCCAUGAUUGUUUAAGUUGUCGGCUGUAUUUUCGGUAUCAGCCAUGUUAGGUUACUUUUGACCGUGUCUUUCUGAUUUCUUGGUUCUAGAGUCAUUUGUAUUAAUUACUCCCCAAUUUUCCUUGUUUAACUAUCAUGAUCUCCCCGAAAUAGAUUAGUUUGACUCGAGUUCAUGUUUAUACGGGUCUAAACCAAUUUGUUUUGCCUGUCUUCUCCCAUGGUGUUCUGCUUCCUUUGGUUCGUUUUUGAGCUGCUCAAACCUUUUAUUCCAUCUAUCUUUUCCCAUGUUCAUCCUAGUUUUUUCAACUUUGGACAAUGCCUUCAUGUACACUCCAUAGGGUAAUUUUUUUUUUUUGGUUGCCCCAUGUAUGAUUCACACUCUUUAAAUUGGUACCAAACGGUACCCCAGCAAAAGCAGAAAUCUGGGAGCCGUUCAUACAAUACUGGCAACUCCACCUUAUCAUCUUCUUCUAGCUCCAACCAUUUUCUGUAAUGGCUUUGUGAUGUCAAUGGAUAUUCUGACUCUUGCAUACAAACCAAUACACUCCCUGUCAUCAUCAUUUUCAACUUCCAACACCUCUCCAAUCAGUCCUCCCAGCUUUUGAACAUUGUCUCUCUCUAUGCAAACAAUGGGUAUAUUGUGAAUUCAUACCCAAAAAAGUGUAUGCGUGAAUUCUUCCUUUCUCAUGUUUCCUAUUCCACUGGGUUCUUUCAACACAAUCAAAGCCCUAUCGAAAUGACAUGGCUCUCCUGCCAUUAUUUUCUGUUUAUCAACUUCUAACCCAAAUUUGAACCGAAAAAUAUUGUUUCUCAUGCUCUCAAUCUUCACCUUUUUUGUUGUUUUCCAUGCUUGUGUUAAUGCAGUUUUGAUCACAUCCGUGUGGACACUCUUUGCCAAUAGAAUUUUUCCAACUAGAGAAUUUUCCAUUAUACGUCCUCUUUUUCCUUGCAUUCCGCUUCUAAUUGAUAGCUUUCGUUCACUGCCAUCUCAUAUAAAAAUAGCUUUGCAUUUACAUAUUAACUCAUCUGUGUCCAUAGAUGACGAACAACAAGUUUGCUCUUUACCUGCUAACUACCCUGUGUUUGAAUCUCGGAGUUUUACUCACUCUCACCCACUCUCUUAAAUGAACUCCCUCGAUUUUUAACUUCCUUGAUAAUUUUAAAUAAAAGACACUCAAUCUAAAAGACAUUGAAUUUGCAAAGUUUCAAUGGAAAUAUAUGUCUCUUCUUGCCAUUCUUUGCCCUCUCAACAUCGAAAAAAUUUCAUUUUAUUAGUUUUACUUUUAUGAAGAAUUUGAGUGUUCCAAAAGUAGUCAUGGCAAAUCCAACCUUUCCCACUUGUAAUCAAGCAUUUGAGUAUUAUCAUAACUUGUUUUGGAGGUAUAAGUGUUGCCGUGAAAGAUGCUAUAGGUAGCUUGCUUUGGAUUUCACUUCAUGCAAAAAUGGUCUUAAUCGAAUCAGAAACUCAUAUAGGUCUUAUUUCAUAUUAAGGUGUUCCAACUUUUAAAUUAUAGUUGUUGUAUGAAUGGUCUUAGUAAUAUGUAGUAAAAAAAAAUUUAAAAAUUUUUUUUAACAAAAUUAGUAAAUAUAUAUAAUAAAUUUUUUUAUCAUACAAGUAUAAAAUCAAAUUAACUUAGUUUCUAAGUUACAACAGCUAGUGCUUACUAGCUUUUAAGUUACAGUUGCUCAACCUCAAACCCCAAACUAGACCAUAAUUGGAAAGUACUUGACAAAUGUAUGCAACUUACUGUGCUUGUACACAAGUUCAAUUUAACAUUUCAGUAAUGUGCACGCAAAUAAAGGUUGCUCUAACUUGCUGCAAAUAAUGUAAGUUAAAAUUACAAAAGAGUGUAUUAUGCUAAAGGAUAUUCAUAAUUUUUUUAAGAAAUCAAGUUACUCUAAUUCACAUCCUUUUUUUUAAGGAUUUGCAUUCGAAUGAAAGCAUGAACGAAACAAGUAAUGGUGAGCUGGCUAUCUUCAGAAAUAAUCAUAUAUAUAAAUUUUAUUUUAUAAAAUUUUGCCAUAUUGCAAUAAUUAUAUAUUGAAGGGUCUUCAUUUGUAUAUAACACUAGGUGUUAGGUAUGUUUGCUUAUUGGUAUUUCUUUGACAAAAAUAUGUGAUAGUGCCCUUAGAAACACAGGUACAUAAUCAUCGAAAAAUCAAGUUUUCUUAAAAUUUAUGUGGAUGAUUAAUGAUGUAUCUUUUUUUAUCAGGUAUUUAAUUCAUUUGUAUAUGCAAAGGCCAUAUCUAUAAAUCAAGAUAAAUAUUUACGAGAAACAAAAAUGAAAGUGAAACAGAAUUAAAUUCAAGUUGUCCAACGAGAUAAAUAAUGAGUCCUAAUUCUCUUAUUCAUAUUUCCCUUAGAAACCCGGAUACUUCAUUAUAUAUUUCCAUCAGCCCAUAUAUUUCUUAGAUAUGAUUUUUUUUUCACUUCUUCAAAAGGAGCUACAUGUUUCUUACUUUGCAAAGGAUCCUGGCACAGAACGAGCAAGCUUGUGUGGACAUCCCUGACUGUUGGUAGGGAAAUUUAUGCCAAAAUGGGGAAACUGCAGAAUGGAUUGCAAGUGAUUCUAUUGUACUAGUUACCAAAAUAGGAUACUUAUGACAGCGGUUGCUGAUUUUUCCACGUGUUCAUAUUUCUUCCAAUAUAACCCAAGUAGUUCAUAACAUUGUAUAUAAUGAUGUAGUUCGACAAGUGUUGCGUAAGAAUCACAACAAUGCAAUUGCAUCCAUAUUGAAUAGGGGUGGGCACAAUUGGGUUUGAAUCAAUCCAAUCGGAUUUCGAGUUAGUUGGAUUGAGAAAAAAGUUAUUCAAACUCAAUCCGAACUGGAAUAUGAUCUAAUCUAAUCCGUAUGUAUUCGGAUUAGAUCAAAAGUUCGGGUUUAGUUCAAGUUGACUGAGCUAGGAUUAUAAACGGAUCGAAUUGUGUUCGGUUUAAAAUUGGACUUGGGUCGAUUCGAGUCAUGGGCAAUUUUGAGCUUUUAUUUUGUAUAUUUUGAGUUUUCUUUACAAAUUAUGUAGUUACUAGAAAAUUAUUUUCAUAUAAUUAUCUCAUUUUAGUCUGUUUUUACCAAUUCUAAAAAAAAAAUGAAAACUACUAGUCUACUACCAUUAAAAUCAAAUGUAUACAAAUUAAAAUAAACACAAAUUCUAAAUUUAAUAGCCUCCACCCAAAGCACGAUAUUCAAAUAUAAAUAGCCUUCAAAACACAAAGAUCACAAAGUUUAAAUAUAAUUAAAUAGUUUCCAAUACAAAGUCUAAAAAUAAAUUGUUUCUUAAACAACAAAAUCUAAACAUAAAUAUUAAAUAACCUUCCUUCACGUAAAUAUUUGGACAAGUUCUAACUUCAACUUCUUGUAUUCGAAGUUGGAGGAUGGAUCGCCUAGAGAAGAAUUGAAGAGAAAAAGUAAAUUAAAAAAUUACAAAUUUAUGCAAAGAUAUUGAUUUACUUUUCUUUUCUUUUCUUUUUUGCUAUUGGUGAAUUUGAAUGCAACUGUUGGAACUUGGAAUAUAGAUCAUUCAUGUAUGUAUCAAACAAAUAAUUGAACCACUUGUCAUCCACUCAUCCUAUCGUUUAGCCAAAACCAUGUUACUUGCAAUUCCUUCACCAUCCUCAACUAUCAACUUCUGCUGAUUUUCAUCUUGUUGUUGUUGGAAUGUCUUGUAUAUGUUAUAAAUUUUUAUAUUAUUUCUCAGAUUGGUAAUCUCCUCAUGCCUUGAAUGGCAUUGAUAGUGUUUACCACAAUAGUUGCACUAGCAUUUGUUUGAAUUGUCCUUAAAUAAAGUGAGAUGAUUCCACAUUAGAAAUCUUUUUUUUCAUUUGCUGUAUUUUUCGCCUGCUUCGCCUUUUCCCUCCCUUUUUGAUUUCCUUUUAGUUGUUCACUUUGUUCCUCAUCAUCAAUUGUGAAAUUUAAUCUUGAGUGUCUAGUCACUUGAACAUACAAAAAAAUGAAUAGUCAUCAUUAAUUCAAAACAUAAAACUAUUAAAAUAUCACCACAACACUCACAAUCUCAAACAUCCUCAGUACAUUUAAAAAUGAGUGCUGCUAUUUACCCCGAAUUUGCACCCCGAAAUCAAAACGCACCGUUUGCUCUGAGUUAAUCACGGGUCCAUUAUCUUGCUUUAUAUAAAGGAAAGGAAAAAGCUGGGGAAAGAAAAAGCAAAAGCAAAGUUGUUUCUUCACGUGUUUCUUCAGUCAACGUGUGGGCCUAACUAGAAAAUUUGUUGUGUCCAGCUGUGGUCUGCUAAUUUUACUUUGCUUUGCUAUUUUUUUCAUUCUUUGUUAUUUCCUUCUUUGUAUCAGAUGAUGAUACAUGCAUCAAACACAAUAACGAAAAUUGAACGAGAGUAAGAGAACGAACCAUCGAUCAAGAGUUGAGGGAAGAGGGGAAAAAAAGAGAUUGAAUUAAGAUGCAAGUGGCGUGGUUGAGUGGAUUUGAAACCAAAAAUGGAAUGAAAUCCUCCUGACUUAACAAACGAAUCUGCCUGAAGAAAAAGAGUGCUGCUAACUGGAAAGAGAAAUGGAAAGUGAAAGCAAAAUGUUUACCUUGCUUUACGGGCCUAACUAGAGAAGUGGAAAGUGAAAGCAAGGAAGUAGAAAGUGAAGGCAAAAUGAAGCAACACGUGUAGAGAGAAAAAAGUAAACGGUGUGUUUUGAUUUCGGGGCGUAGAUUCGAGGAGCAAAUUCGGGAUAAAUAGCUUUUCCUUUAAAAAUCACAAAUAAUAAUAAGACUAGGAUAAUUGUGCUAAAAAUAAUUAACAAUACAAUUUCAAUUAAUAAAUUAAUUAGUCUCAAUCUAAGCAAAAAACAAUGAAACGGAAUUUUACAUGAUGAUUAUUUAGGAAUAAAAUUUUAACAUACAUUUUCUUAUAUAAAUUUAUAGGGUUUGAUUUGUAUUGAAAUUAAAAUUAAAAAAUAUGAUCUCUAUACUCCUAUUCACUAAAUUACUAAUUCUAACUAAAAUCAUGGAUAAAUUGUGACUUUUUCUUGCUGAGUAGUCUUAUUAAGCAUACAAAAAUCAUUGAACUUGAAAAGUUAUAAACGUAAUAGAAAUUUGGAAAUUAAUUAUUUAAUAUAAUAUAUAUAGUAUAGUAAUGUUCAUUGAAAAAAGUAAGUUGGAGGAACUUAAUGGCUAUCGAUCAAGGUGGAGCAAGUUGCAGCAGUGGUCAUGGUGUAUUGUGUCAGCAUGUCAUAGACUCACGAUGGCCUGGCUUCAUGCAGUUGCGUUGGUGAGUCAGUGACUACUGUUGUGUGUGUGUUGUCUGGUGAGUCUACUGUGUUGUGUAUCUUGUCAUGCAAACUGCUAUGCCAAUUACUAUGCUGCCACUGAUUUGUAGGUAUGCAUGAAUGCUUAGUACAUGUGUGGUGCUUUUUUUUUAAAAAAAAGAAAGUAAACCUUUCACAAAUCACAAUACAUCAAAUACAACUUGAAUCUUAGUUGGGAUAGUUCCUAACCAGAUAGAAGAAGAGUUUCUCCCCAAAGCUAACUUAACUAAGGAAUGGGCAUAAGCAUUACAUUAUCUUGGAGUAUGAUGGACUGAAACUUUAUGAAAAUCCUUCAACUAAUUUUGGAUCUCUAGAAUUGUCCAAAAUUUUUUUGUUUUGCUACCCUUAGUGUUGUUUACUAACUGGACCAACUCUAAGCAAUCUGACUCAAUGAUCAAGGAGGCUAAAUUUGCUUCUCUCGACACUUGAAUUCCACAUAACAUAGCCUCGGCCUCUACAUUACUUACCGUUCCCUUUAGAGAAGAUUGAUUGAUGCCAGCUGCAAUUACCUUGCCGUUUGUUCCUCUGAUGACUACUCUCACUCAUGUAGUCUGAUCCUUGGCAUUAAUGGCAGCGUCGACAUUAACUUUGAAGACAUUUUCGGGGAGGGGGGGGAAUCCACUUCUGCAGCUUCUCUCCACUGGAGUAGGCAAUAUGAGAGGGGUAUGUCUUCCUUACUCUUUGAAAUGCAUCCAAAAUAGACUUUGCCUUUGCAGUUGAGAUAUUGAGGGCUAUCUUCUUGCCUUCGAAAAUAAAUUUGUUUCUAGAAAACCAGACAGCCCAACACAAAGCUACCAUUAAUUCCAAAUCAGCUUUCCUUAACUCAUUGGCCAUUCCUUGCAAAAUGCUAAAAAUGUCCUGAGAAUGAUCUUUAAAGCUUGGAACUGUAAAGGGAGAUUGUAGCCAGAUCGAUUUUGCUGCCUUGUACUCCAAUAAGGCGUGGCUUAUAGAUUCUAUGCUCUUUCUACAUAUUUGACAAGUUGGCUCUUGAAUGACUUUUCUUUUCCACAUAUUUUCUGUUGAUGGGAGCAAAUUGUUUGAUGCCCUCCACAUGAAUAUUUUUAUUUUUUCAGGUAGCUCCAGGGACCAAAGGGCACUCCAAUACUGAGACAUGCUCUCUAAGCUACUAGGAGCAUUUGGAAAUUUCAUUCUUAAGGCUAGCUGGUACCCACUUUUGACCGAGUAUUCUCCCCUUUUAUCAUAAUGCCAUAAAACAUCAUCAUCCAAAUGUUCUUUUGGGAGAGGAAUCUUAAGAAUCAUUGCUGCAUCUACUUUCAUAAAGUGUUAGUUCAAAUUGUCUUCAUCCCAAUGGUUAUCUUCCUUAUUUAGGUUUGCCACCACUAUGUCUGCUCGCAAAGUAGGGGGGCGAUUGGCUUGAACGUAUCCGGCCUUGGCAGCCAAUUAUCCUUGUAAACAUAUAUGUUCUUGCCAUUGCCCACCCGCCAUCUAAAACCUUUCUUGAUUACUUCUCUGCCCCAAAGAAUGCUUUUCCAGAUGAAUGAAGCAUUGGACCCUACUGAUGCACCUAGAAAGCUGGAGUUCUUGUAAUAUCUUGCUUGAAGGACUCUUGAGACCAGAGAAUUUGGGUACUGCAAAAACCUCCAAGCUUGCUUUGCCACCAAGGCUUAGUUAAAGCUAGUAAAAUCCCGAAAUCCCAUCCCACCUCUGUUUUUUGCAUGGCUGAGCUUUUCCCAUUUUAACCAAUGGAUACCUUGCUUAACUUCCUUCGUUCCCCACCAAAACUUCGCUAUAGCCCGUUGAAUGUCAUCACAAAGACCUCUCGGAAGCUUGAACACACUCAUUGCGUAAGCUGGGAUAGCUUGGGCUGCCGCUUUAAUAAAGAUUUCCUUACCCCCACUCGAAAACCUUUUAUGCUGCCACCAUGUGAUCUUGUUUAAAACUUUUAGCUGCUGCCACCAUGUGAUCUUGUUUAAAACUUUUAGCUUUACUUCAUCGAAAAAGCUUAGCUUCUUUCUUCCUAUCAUUGAGGGGAGGCCUAAGUAUUUUUCAUGCUUGGAGACCACAUUUAACUUGAAAAUGUCUUUAAUAGCAGUUGGAUUGUUGUCGAAAAUCUCCUUCAGAUGCUUACAAUCAGCCACUGAAGCACGAUAAAAAACUAGGUUAUCAUUCGCAAAUAGCAAGUGGGUAAUUGAGACUUCUUUUGCAAAUUUCAGACCUUGGAUUAGCUGAUUCUUUUCCGCCUUCACCAGCAUAUUGGAGAACGCCUCAGCACAGAUGAUAAAGAGAUAUGGAGAUAGCGGGCAGCCCUGCCUCAGACCUCUUUCCGGCUGAAUCAUUCCCUUUGGCACACCAUUAAUAAUCACCGAGAGUGAGGCAGUAGAGACACACCUCAUAAUCAAAUCCACCCAAUUAGGUGAGAAACCCAGCCUUAACAAUGUUUGAUUAAAAAAAGACCACUCAAGUCUAUCAUACGCCUUACUAAUAUCUAGCUUAAGAGCCACAAGAUCGUUCCUCUUCCAUUUACAGUGUCUUAUCUUAUAGAGGCAUUCAUAACCAAUAAUAACGAUGUCUAUAAUGAGUUUAUUGGUUAUAAAUGCACUCUGCAUUGGAGAAAUGAUUUGGGAGAGGAUCAGUUUCAUUCUAUUUGCAAUAGCCUUAACUACGACUUUAUAAAUUACAUUACAAAGGCUUAUGGGCCUGUAAUCAGAGACUCUCCCAGGCUUAGCAAUUGUAGGGAUCAAGGCGAUAAAAGUAUGGUUAAGAGGAGACGGGUUACCUUGCUCAUUAAGGAUAUGAAGACAUGUUGUAACAACUCUAUUGCGAAUUAAUUUCCAAUGCUUCUGAAAAAAUACAGCAGUUAAGCCAUUUGGACCUGAGGCUUUUGUGGGGCACAUAUGUCCUAGCCUCCUCUAUAUCCUUUGGAGUGAAGGGCUUCUCCAGCUGGGCAUUCAUUUCUGAUGUUACUUUUGUCGGCAUUCCUUGAAGAGCAGCUUGAAUUUGGCUUGGAGUUGGGCUGGAUGUAGUGAAGAGUUCUUAAAAGUAACAGCAGAAUUCCUUUUCUAUAUCAUCUAUCUCCCUUAGCCAGACGCCUUGAGAGUUUUCUACCCCCCACACCUUAUUCUUUUUUUUACGGGCAGAAGUCUUGGCAUGGAAAAACUUAGUGUUUUUGUCUCUUUCUCUUAGCCAGUCAGCCCGCGAUCGUUGCUUCCAAUAGAUCUCCUCGUCAAUAAGCAUGGAAUUGAUAUAGCUUUCAAUCUUCCUGAUCUCCUCUCCAUCAGUCAGUUUAGAGCUUCCUUGCAUAGCAUUCUGAAGGCUCUGAAACAACUUUUCUUGUUUUCUUUGUCUUCCUUCAAAUUCGUUUUUACUCCAAAGUUUAAGCUAAGCUAAAGACUUUUUUGCUAUCCACUGAAAUUGGUGAGCAGGAUCCUCCCAAGCUCUAGCCCCAUAGUUUCCCCACUCAUCCUUUACUAUGCUCCUACAGUCUUCGUAAGAACUCCACAUAUCCUCAUAGUGGUCACGGGGAAACGAUCUGCUCACAGUCCUCGACUUCUUGCAUCUCUAUUUGAAUUCUAAGACUAUUGGGCAGUGAUUUGAGACCCAAUUAACAAGGUUUAUGGCUGUAGAGUCUUAAAAUUUGUUGCCUCAAUCCUUACUACACAAGAAUCUGUCCAGCCAUUUUUCUAUGUAAUUAGAACCAAAUCUCUUAUUAGACCAUGUAUACGGGUACCCCUUGCAGCCCACAACCUCUCUAAACUCGACAACCACAUUUACAUUCUUCUCGUUGCUCCCAUUUUUCUCAAACAUAUGCAUCACUUCAUUGAAAUCCCCAAAGCAACACCAAUGGUGGGACGAAAGAUUAGCUAACCUUUUUAGAAGGGUCCAUGUGCUGCGCUUCUAGCUGAGCUCUAGGUGGCCAUAAAUCCCCGCACAUCUCCAAACCAAGCCACUUUCACUACUCACUAUUGCAUCUAUAUGGUGGGGCCUGUAUGAGGUGAUAUUGACAUUAAUGUCUGCUCCCCAGAGCAUAGCUAGGCCUCCACCCAAACCAUUUCUGUCCACAGCAAAACAAUUUACAAAAUUAAAACUUCUGUAAAUUAAAUUGACCUACCUAGCCAUCAUCUUAGUUUCACAACAAAAUAGUAUUUGGAGCCGGUGCAGUUAUAGAACUUUUCUAAUUGCUAAGUGCGUUUGAGGCUUCCUCAGACCUCGAACGUUCUAGCUGAGGAUCUUUAUGGUUGUCGGCGAGGCUGAUCAUCAGUACCCGCCAAUAGGUCUUCAUCCAUUGCUUCCAAGUUUUCCCCUGCAUCUAGCACUUAUUCUGCUUGCUUCAGCUAGCGAGCUACUUUGUUGGGGCUAAAAUGGUUGCAGUUGCCUAAUGCUUUUGCUAGGCUUAUGUGUUUUCCUUCCUACAGUUGCUUUUUUGGACUGGACACUCACUUCUUUUUGCUCUCUGGGCUAGGCCCAUGACCUUCACUGUUGUGUCUUUUACUUCCUAUGAAAGUAAUAUUAUUUGCUCCUUCUCCUUUGGUGUUUCUUGCCCGUAAUUUCCAUUUUCUUCCUUUGGAUUUCACGGUGGCCUUGCUGGCCCCAUCAUCCAAAUCCUCUUCAUCUGAUCUGGCACCCCAUGUGUCCUCCUCCAUUUUAUUUUCCAUCUUCCCCACAUUAUCUUUUUCUACAAGAUUUUCAUUUUCCCUCCAAUCCUUCUUUUCUGCCUUUUUUUGCGUUCAUAUCUAGAUUGGCACCACCCUGCAAGAUUUUCAUUUUCAUUACUAGUCACUCUGUCCUGCAACUUGUUGAUGUCACCACCCUGCUUUAAUGCACCACUUGCUGGUUUUCCUGCUAUGUUACACUCAACAUUAGAUGCUGCCCAUCAGCUCUUGGUUCCUUGUUUUUACCCACUGGUUCAUCACCAUUAUCUAUCUCCGGACCCGAUUCGAUCAGGUAAGACCCAUUUUGACUAUCCGAGUUGUUUUGAGACUGGUAUGGCCUUAGGCUAGUUGUUGCUGAAUCAUUUGCUCUGGAAUGGAAUUGUUCUCAAUUGCCUUUCCCUUUACUUCGAUUUUGUUUUACCCUUUCAGCCUGAGUGACUGCUCUCAUCCAUCCCCGUAAGGCAGAUCCUCCUUUUGUUGUCCUUUGUACCUCAGGCACUCUCUGUACUGAUGACCUACAUGCGCGCAACAAAAGCAAAAGUCCGGUAGCUUUUCAUACAGGAUUGGCAUUGGAAUUUUUCCUUCAUCUUGUUGUAAAAACACAAUCUUUUUUAAUGGCUGAGUAAUGUCAAGGGAGAUUCUUACUCGAGCAAAUUGUCCUAUGCAAUCCCCGGCUUCGUCUGUCUCUAUUUUCUUGACCUCACUAAUCUUUUCACCUAGUUUUUCAAUUGCCUCCUUGUUCAUGCACAUUAUGAGUAUAUUUUGGAUCUGCACCCAAAAUGUUGUAUGCGUAAAGAAUUGAUUUUUGAUAUCACCAAUGUCGGAUGGUUCGAUCAAAACUAUCAGUGCUCUGUCAAAAUGCCAUGGCCUUCCUAUAAGCAGUCUUUUCUUUUCUUAUUCUGAAGCAAACUUGAAGAGAAGAAUAUUAUCCCCCAUGCUUUUAAUUUUUACCUCCUUCACUAUUCUCCAAGCCGUUUGCAUAGCUGUUUUCAAGCCUUCCCAGUUUAUGCUUCGUGAAAGCAACACCUUCCCUACUAGACAAUUCGCAGCAACUUCUUCUCCCUUAAUCCUCAUUUGCCCCAUGAAUGCUACUAUGCCUGCUUCUUCUUCUUUUAGAACGACAGCCUGACACUUGCGCAAUAAAUCCUCUGUAUCCAUACUUAGCUCUGAAUCCACCUACCCUCUAUUAUCCGCAAAUAAAAGCUAAAAGAAGGAGUCAAUCACCCAAAUUCCUUCAAGAAGUACUAUGGAAAAUUGUAAAAGAACACCCAACUAGUGAGCGAAUGAAAAAGCCAAAAUAGGCUUCAGUCUCCUUUCAUUCUAGUACCUUUCAGAGAAAAAGUACUAUAAAAGAAAGAGUAUAUGUGUCAUUGUUAUUCUGUACAUGUGUGGUGUUAAUCGAAUACAAUUAGGUUUAGUUUUACUCUUUUAUAGUUUUAGAUUAAAUAUUUAUUUUAGAUACGAACCUUGACCAAUUCAAAUCAAUUCUACUAACUGAUUUUUAAUCCAAAAUAAUAUAUAUAUUUAGUUUUCAUCAAACGGCUGAGAAAUGGGCCAAGCCCGUAUGCACACGUGUGAAGACCUGUUUUAUGUUUUGUCAAUUUGGAGUAGUGCAAGUAUUUUGAAAUUAACUGAAGGGAAAGCUAAGUGCGUAUUCAAACAUGCUGGUGAUGAAUUGCUCCAUGAUAAUUCGUUUUCCAAUUUAUGAGACGAAAGGAUGGUUUUGAGUUUGAUACCACAAUGCCUCGUCUUUCUUUUAUCCUUGUGAUUUUUGAGAAUUGCAGUCUCAAUUGGAAUGAGAGAGGAAGUGUAUGUGAAACGUAUAGGUAUAGAGCUUGGCCUUACGCCAAUACAAUUUUAUUGAGAUAACCUAUAUUGGCUUUUACAUAAACACAGUACAUGUAUAAAAAUUCAGAAAACAAGAUUAAAUCUGAGAGAAUGCUUUAUCAAUCUAAUGCUUUUUCUUGGUAACAUAAGAAGAGGUGUCGAGAAAGGGAUAAUCCGUGUAACCAACAACAGGAUCGGAAACAUAGAAUGUUUCUCUGUUGUACUUAUUGAGGGGGGCAUUGAACUCAAAUCUCCUGGGUAAAUCUGGAUUAGCCAAGAACAAGCGACCAUAAACAACAAGAUCUGCACGGCCUUCAGCAAUAGCUUUGUUUCCAUCUUCCCUGUCAUAACCCCCAGCGACAAGAAAAGUACCCUUGAAAGCCUUUCUCAUGGGCAGCAAACUGUGAGGACAUUCAGAUUUUUCUCCAACUGUUUUCAUCCUCGGAUCAACCAUGUGACAAUAGAGGAUACCAUAUUUGUUCAAGGAUUCUGCCAUGUAAAGACCUAAAGCUUCUGGGUUAGAGUCUCCUGAUUCCAUAUAGUUUGCAAACGGAGAUAGUCUUAUCCCAACCCUAUCUGCCCCUAUUUCAUUGGAAACAGCUUCAACUAUUUCUAAAGCAAAACGGCAACGGUUCUCUAAGGAUCCUCCAUACUGGUCUGUUCGAUCAUUCACUUGAUCCUUCAUAAAUUGGUCAAUUAGGUAGCCAUGUGCACCGUGGAGCUCAAUGCCAUCGAAACCUAUACAGCAUAAGACAAAGUUAGAAACCAAAAACCUGUACAGCAUGAACACUCCAUUUAUCUAACUCUUCUCAUAUAACUGAAAGCUCUGAGGCUCGCAUUGUGCGGACAGACAGACGGAGGGUCUAGCUUUCAUUUUAAGAACAAGAAAAAGUAUUUAAGCAUUUACUAGGUUGGCUCUCAAAGUUAAGGUUUAAGUUUUCAAAUUCUUUAUUCAAUAUGAUAAAUACAACUAUGGGACAAUAAGCAUAAUUGUAAAGAAACUUAAUUGUUUUCACAUAAACCUUACAGUACAAUAAAACAACAUUAUUUACAAGCCACAAAAGCCUAGUAAAAAUCUAUUAAUGCAUUUAUGUUUAGUUUCCCUUUCCUUCUGAUAGCCAUGCAUGGAAUGGAAGAAUCUCACUAUUCUUUUAUACUAUUUUCCUUAAUCUCAAGAAAAGUAGACCAUUGAAAUAUCACCCAUCCUGUGGCGACCUUAAAACACUUAUUGCCCACAAUUCAAUUUUUAAUUUCAGAAAAAAGAAUUUACCAGCCUCAAUUGCGUUUCUUGCAGCAAGCCUGAAAUCAUUCACAAUUUGAGGGAUUUCAUCUGUCCUUAGCCGCCUUGGACGAGUGAAUUGUGCAAUAUCAACACCAUUAGCGCGGAUUUGAGGUGUCAAUGGCUUGUCUGUACUGGAAAUUGGAGCUUGACCAUUUGGCUGAUAAUCUGUACAGUUCGAAGACAGGAAAAACCAAUGAAGAUCCAGUUGAAAUGAUUCUCAAAUUUCUAUAAAAUCAGUCAGAUCCAUCACAUGGAGGUUUUAAAAAAACUAUUGAAUGUCAUUUUAUUAACUGAAAAUAAAAUGCAAAAGGAUGGUGCAUCUGUAGGAUGAUCAGUACUCAAUUUGAGCAUUUGAUUAAUCCGAGCUGCUUAUUCUCUCAACACUUGCCUCAUAUUAG
rnacentral:lncRNA from 1 species